rnacentral:lncRNA from 1 species
GUUUAUUACAAAUCCAUUGAACAGUCUGGAAUGUAUGGAGUUAGAGAGAAAGAUCAGGAAAAAUGGUUGACUAGCAAAAACUAAGGGUAGUCAUCUCAGAUGGCCAAACUCCUCAGCAGAGACAAUCCACCGAGCUCCAUCGCAGUCCAUCAUCGAAGGUAUGAAAUCAAGCAGGAACUGAAGCAGACACCAUGGAGGAAAUUCUGCUUCCCAACUCAGUUUCCAGCUUACUAUCUGCUGGCUUUCUGAUACAGGCCAGGUCUACCUGGUUAGGGAUGCUGCUACUCAGAGUGAGCUAAGCCCUUCCAUAUCAACUAUCAGUUAGGACCAUUCCGAAAAGACAGGCUAACAGGGCAAUUAGAUUGAAGCAAGUCUCCAACUGAGGUCAUUAUCUAGGUGACUCUAGAU